CCUACGGGAGGCAGCAGUGGGGAAUAUUGGACAAUGGGCGAAAGCCUGAUCCAGCAAUGCCGCGUGAGUGAUGAAGGCCUUAGGGUUGUAAAGCUCUUUUACCAGGGAUGAUAAUGACAGUACCUGGAGAAUAAGCUCCGGCUAA
rnacentral:rRNA from 1 species